CCCGCGCCACCUCUCUGAUUUGUGCGCGGGGUGCCGGUCUCCGGCCUCUUUGUCCGCUGGAGUUGCGCGGUUUGUAGCAGAUCUCAGGCGAGCCACAUGUGCGGCGACAGGAACCCAACCCCGGCCGACCUGGAGCUCCAAGAUUUCGUCUCCUGCGUCUGCGGAAGUGCGGCGGCCUCAUAAACAGCAAAGGUUGACAACUACAGGUACAAGCCAUUGAAGCUGGGAUGUCCUGAUGCUGGUAUUUCAAUUGUUAGACCUACUAUCCUUUCAGUUACAAUAAGAAAAUGCCUCUAAUACGAGUACUAACUUGUAGCAACCACAUGUCCAUGCAGUGCCACAGGAACUAGAGCAGCAGGACAAGGCUGGUGGCAACAGGGCAGUAUAGCAGUGUUUCAUGUUCAUCUUUUAAUUUAAUUCUCAUAAUUCGGAGGUUGAUUUUGUUCUCCCAUUUCACAUAUAAAGAAAUGGAUUAGGGGUAAAUCAAGUUUCACAGAAUGUGAGUAUCUCUGAAUGAGAGGCUUCAUAUGACUUCUGGAAAGUCACUUGUCUCUUGAGAUUUGGUGUCCUGGUUUAACAGUUAAAAGAAUUUAAGCAAACUAGGAAAGGACCACAGUAGAGCUGUUAAGAAUAUAAGCUCUUCGUAUUCAUUGCAUUGAACCUAAGAAGGUUCACAAAAUUGGGCACAAAAGGGUAUGUGUCAGCAUAUUCUGUGUGUGUGUAUGUAGCAUAAGGAAGUGUAAAGGGUUUUAAAAGGACACAGUGGUACAAGUUUUGGAGGUGAUGAAAAGUUUUCAUGUGGGAGAAAACAGUCAAGCAAGUUCACGCCUGUUAACCAGUCUGCUGCAUGUCUAGCAAUUGAGGUCUCAUUACUCUGUAAGUUAGUUAAAAGUGACUGAUUAUCCAGAACUUCUAAA